GAUGAACGCUGGCGGCGUGCCUAAUACAUGCAAGUCGAGCGAACGGACGAGAAGCUUGCUUCUCUGAUGUUAGCGGCGGACGGGUGAGUAACACGUGGAUAACCUACCUAUAAGACUGGGAUAACUUCGGGAAACCGGCGCUAAUACCGGAUAAUAUUUUGAACCGCAUGGUUCAAAAGUGAAAGACGGUCUUGCUGUCACUUCUAGAUGGAUCCGGGCUGCAUUAGCUAGUUGGUAAGUUAACGGCUUACCAAGGCAACGAUGCAUAUCCGACCUGAGAGGGUGAUCGGCCACAUGGGAACUUGGACACGGUCAAGACUCCUACGGGAGGCAGCAGUAGGGAAUCUUCCGCAAUGGGCGAAAGCCUGGCGGAGCAACGCCGCGUGAGUUAUGAAGGUCUUCGGAUCGUAAAACUCUGUUAUGAGGGAAGAACAUAUUUGUAAGUAACUGUGCACAUCUUGACGGUACCUAAUCAGAAAGCCACGGCUAACUACGUG
rnacentral:rRNA from 1 species